rnacentral:rRNA from 1 species
UACAGAGGGUGCGAGCGUUAAUCGGAAUUACUGGGCGUAAAGCGCGCGUAGGCGGCUUUGCAAGUCGACUGUGAAAUCUCCGGGCUUAACCCGGAAAGGUCAGCCGAUACUGCGGGGCUAGAGUGCAGAAGGGGCAACUGGAAUUCUCGGUGUAGCGGUGAAAUGCGUAGAUAUCGAGAGGAACACCUGCGGCGAAGGCGGGUUGCUGGGCUGACACUGACGCUGAUGUGCGAAAGCUAGGGGGCGAACGGG